rnacentral:sRNA from 1 species
AUCAUCCGGUGGUAACAACAACAAGAAGU